AUUGAACGCUGGCGGCAGGCCUAACACAUGCAAGUCGAACGAGUGGCGGACGGGUGAGUAAUGUCUGGGAAACUGCCUGAUGGAGGGGAUUACCUCCUGGAAACGUUGGCUAAUACCGAAUACAAUCAAGUGGGCCCAGAUGGGAUUAGCGAGUUGGUGGGUUAAGGGCUCACCAAGGCGACGAUCCCUAGCUGGUCUGAGAGGAUGACCAGCCACACUGGAACUGAGACACGGUCCAGACUCCUACGGGAGGCAGCAGUGGGGAAUAUUGCACAAUGGGCGCAAGCCUGAUGCAGCCAUGCCGCGUGUAUGAAGAAGGCCUUCGGGUUGUAAAGUACUUUCAGCGGGGAGGCGUUACCCGCAGAAGAAGCACCGGCUAACUCCGUGCCAGCAGCCGCGGUAAUAC
rnacentral:rRNA from 1 species